CGGGGUGUAGCUCAGCCCGGUUAGAGUGCUUGCUUUGGGAGUAAGAGGCCGACGGUUCGAAUCCGUCCACCCCGA
rnacentral:tRNA from 1 species